rnacentral:miRNA from 1 species
CUCUUGCUCUAGAGCUAUGAUUUUUUCACUAUGUUGCUCAUUCUUCAUUUUCAAAGAUGAUCAAUAACUUAAUAGGAUGAUAUCUCAACUUGUCUGUGAAUUGAAUUCUAGUGAGGUAGAGC